CGAGCCGUCACUUGGCAGCUCUAGAACGGUCGCCGCCGCCACUCAGCCGCCGCACCGCAGCCCCCCUUCACUCUCGCGUUGCCCGCAAUCCACAGCCACCGCAGCCCGCGCGAACUCAUGCCCGGCCCGCCCUAGGCUGCCCCGGGCCCGAGGUACCCUCUUCCUGCCCGCGCCCAACUUCCUCGCUGCUUGCCCUCGCCGCCGCGCGUCCUUGCACCACCUCACGCCCUGGCUGCUGCCGCCGUUGAUCUGCGACGUCGCGCCCCCUUAUUGCCGCCACCCGGAGAGCCUCUCCCUAGUUGCCAGCUGCAUGCCACGAGCUCGCCACUACGGGACCUCGCCGCUGCCUCGACCUCGUCCCCACGGGCCACCGCCAGCCCCGAGAACCACCGGAUCCGGCGCCUCCGCGACCAAACCCGACCGGCCCGUGACUCCUCGAUGUCGCUCCGGCCUACUACGACCUCCCCACCGCCAAUUCCGUCAACUUCCCCCGCCGGCCGCUCCUCUAUCCAGCCCAACGUGAGCAGCUACGCCCAGAUUUUUUCAAAGUCUAAAACUGUCUGCGAAUUUCACCAUAUGUGCCUGUUACGGUGAUGAUAUUUUGCAAACUGUGCAUCCGUUUGAGAUGAAUUAUCUAUGAAAGUUGUACUACUCCAUGAGUUCUAUAGCAUGGAAGCAUUUGCAUGCAUACUAAUAUUCAUCUAACUACUCUUAAUGAUGUUGCAAAAGUGCAUCCCGUCGUAGUCGAUAAUCUGUUAAUUUUCUUCCAAGCUGCGUGGUUGAUUGCAAGUAAGGUGUAGGCCUUUUUGCAUGUGGUUUCUUCGCGAGAAUUUCUCUAGGAUAUGUCUACUUUGAUGCCAUUCCUUUGGUUACAAUUUAGAUUAUCAUUAAAAUGCUCAUUUGUUGCUCCCAAGGUGCUAUCAUGUUAAAAACUGCAAUCUGUUUUCGUUAAGUUUCAUUUUGCGAAACUCGAAUUAAGCAAACCAUGCCUCUUUUGAUUGUGAGUGAUGGAGUGAUUUGUAGUAGGCUAUGACUAGUUGCUGUUAGUAGGUUUCCCAUGCCAUGUAUGUCAUGCUUAGCUGUCGUUUUCAUUAUGUGAACAUGCUAAUAUGAUGUUGCUGUUUGGUAGGCUCAAAUAUUUCGAAGUGUGAGAAUCUGAUAUUUCAGCAUGCCAUAUUGUGUUGACGCUAGCUAUGAACGUGUGUACAUUUAGACCUUCCUAGUGUGGAAUGAAAUGAAGUGCAUCAUGCCUACUACCAUACUAUAAAUUUUCAUGCCAUUAUAUGCCCUCUAGCAUGUAUUUUUCUUGCUGCCAAUAUGCCAUCAUGAUAAAAACUGCACUGGUAAACUGAUAAUUUCACUAAGUCGGAAAUUAUGUUCAACUUGCCAUUUUUGAGCUCUUUUCCUAGUGCUUCAUACUUCUAAUAAAUUUUACAUUACGAGAUGCUUCGUGUGCAUCUUGUCCACUACUGCCUCAUGUCUUGUUUGAGCAUUUUAGAUUCCUGUAGCUUGUUGUUUUGGUGUGUAUAAAAUGUCAUGUUACUGUUUUUGGCAGAUUAUAGCUAUAUCUUGUAUUGCUUUUAAUUGUUGAACCGUUGCUCCGUUUUGAACAUGCCAUAUAUGGAACUUGCUUAGAAACUCAUGUAGUUUCAUAAUAUCUUGUUGCAUCCAUGAUUUAACAUGCUUGUGGGUGUCAUUUGCAUACAUAUUGCAUUCAUGGCAUAAUAUCUUGUGCCACUCAUAUCAUUUAGACCGUAGUUCCGAUUAUGAUGAUCUAUAUAUGUAAAUCGACUAGAAUGAUGUGUAGAUUCACAUGGUCUACUUUAUUUUUCUAUUUAUUAAAUAUAAAAUAUGUUUAGUACAUAUCUUGUCCAAUUUUGAAAUUAACACAUGGGGUCAUUUCGGAAAUGCUAUACGUUGUUUUCGACCUCAUUUAAAAAUGCAUAGAUAGUGUCGUUUAUUUAUGAUUCACAUCUUGACAUGUUUAACAAUAUUUUAUAUUGUCGUGUACCUAAAGGGAGUGAACUCGUUGCAUAUUGUGCUUCACUUAAUGUGUAGUGUUUGAUUAUUGUGAAUUGUCAUGACGUGCCUUGCAUAAUUAAAUCGGACAUGCAUCAUAUUUAUUUACGCAUCAUGUCAUGCAUAUGUUGUGGUGUUUAUCGUGUGUUGAUUGUUUGUUGCCGGAUUGUUUUUCUCGAUAGAGUUCCGAACCGCUUCGGGGUGUGAGGAUUCGUUCGACUACGUGGGUUCGUCUACUUCACGGAUCCGUUCUUCUUCCAAGCGAGAUCACAGUCAAGAUGAUCAUUGCACUAGAUACCACUACUAUCAUUGCCAUGCUAGUUGUCUUGUUUCUAUUGCUACGUCUCGGUGCCUACCACCUGUUAUGAUAAGCCUCCCAACAUUGCCAUGAAAAGCCUCCAAACCCUCCACAUCCCAGCAAACCCUUGUUUGGCUAUGUUACCAUUUGCUCAACCUUCUUACAGCGUUGCUAGUUGCAGGUGCAGAUGCUUUCCAUGUGACAACAUGGAUUCCUUGUUAUACCACCAUAUUAUUUCUAAUUAAAUUAAUGCACCUAUUUACUUUGUAAAAGGUGGAAGUCUUGAACUUCUAGCCCGACUUUUUGUUCCAUCUUUGCCUCCCUAGUUACUUGUGUACUGGUGUUAUGUUCC
rnacentral:lncRNA from 1 species